UCCUCCCUCUUUCUUUGUGCUUAACACAUGCAAGUCGAACGGUAAGGCCCUUUCGGGGGUACACGAGUGGCGCACGGGUGAGUAACACGUGAGUAACCUGCCCUCAUCUCUGGGAUAACAGUCGGAAACGGUUGCUAAUACUGGAUAUGAGCUUGCAAGGCAUCUUGUGGGUUGGAAAGAUUUUUUUUGGUUGGGGAUGGACUCGCGGCCUAUCAGCUUGUUGGUGAGGUAGUGGCUCACCAAGGCUUCGACGGGUAGCCGGCCUGAGAGGGCGACCGGCCACAUUGGGACUGAGAGACGGCCCAAACUCCUACGGGAGGCAGCAGGGGGGAAUAUUGCACAAUGGACGGAAGUCUGAUGCAGCAACGCCGCGUGCGGGAUGACGGCCUUCGGGUUGUAAACAGCUUUCAAUUGUGACGAAGCUUUUUUGUGACGGUAGCAGUAGAAGAAGCACCGGCUAACUACGUG
rnacentral:rRNA from 1 species